UACGGGGGGGGCAAGCGUUGUUCGGAAUUACUGGGCGUAAAGGGCUCGUAGGCGGCCAACUAAGUCAGACGUGAAAUCCCCAGGCUUAACCUGGGAACUGCGUCUGAUACUGGAUGGCUUGAAUUCGGGAGAGGGAUGCAGAAUUCCAGGUGUAGCGGUGAAAUGCGUAGAGAUCCGGAGGAAGACCGGUGGCGAAGGCGGCCUGCUGGGCAGUUACUGACACUGAGGCGCGACAGCGUGGGGAGCAAACAGG
rnacentral:rRNA from 1 species